rnacentral:rRNA from 1 species
AUACGUAGGUGGCGAGCGUUAUCCGGAAUUACUGGGUGUAAAGGGUGUGUAGGCGGGAAGGCAAGUCGGAUGUGAAAAUUAUGGGCUCAACCCAUAAAGUGCGACCGAAACUGUUUUUCUUGAGGAUCGGAGAGGUAAUGAGAAUUCCCGGUGUAGCGGUGAAAUGCGCAGAGAUCGGGAGGAAUACCGGUGGCGAAGGCGAAUUACUGGACGAUAACUGACGCUGAGACACGAAAGCGUGGGGAGCAACCAGGAUUAGAUACCCUGGUAGUCCACGCCCUAAACGAUGAAUGCUAGGUGUAGGGGAGUCAUCUUCUGUGCCGCAGCUAACGCAUUAAGUAUUCCACCUGGGGAGUACGCCGGCAACGGUGAAACUUAAAGGAAUGGACGGGG